GUAUUGUGGCACAACAAGUUAUUUCAUCAAGUUACUGAUUGAGAAGAAAUAUGCUUUGCCCUAUCGUGUACUUGAUGCCAUGGUAGCACACUUCAUGAAUUUCUUUGAUGAAACAAGAGUCAUGCCUGUGAUCUGGCACCUGUCACUUCUUGUAUUUGUGCAGAGGUACAAAACUGAGAUGAGGAAGGAGGAUAAAGCUAACAUAAGGGCACUUGUUGAAAGACAAAGACAUAGAUUGAUUACACCAGAUAUAUUGAGGGAAAUCGAAAAGAGCAGAAGUCGUGGGGAAAAGGAGGAUGAUCCAAUGUUAAUUGCAAGUCCUCUUUCUGUGAUCAAUAAAGCAAUUGAAGAAGAUAGGUUUGAUAUCCCCGAUGUUCCUAUGGAGGAGGACUAGAUUUUCUCAGCAACCUCUAUACGUGAUGCAGUAUGUGAUGGGGAUGGUAUACUAGCAGAUUCAGGUUUCAAUAUGUAAUAGAGAUCGAGCUGUGUGAUAAGAUAGAUGAGCAUACAUGUGUGGGCUGUUGGAGUUGAGCUAGAGAUUUUGCAAUAUAUUCUUAAAUGAUAUUUAUAUUUUUUGAUUCCUGUCUUCAUCGGCAUAUGCCUAAGCAGGUUUAUGCAGCGACGAACCAGAAAGUUGUAACCGCCAUGUUUUUUUGAAGUUUAGUGUAUCAAUGAUACUCCCCU
rnacentral:misc_RNA from 1 species